GUCGCUGAAUUUUUUAUAUAACAAUCAAUGGUUUGAGAAUUAUCACGUAAGACGCAGGGGACUCAAAAUCCCCCGCCGCAAGGCGUGCCGGUUCGAUUCCGGCCCUGGGCACCA
rnacentral:tRNA from 1 species